AUGUAGUUUUUGUAUAUAUUUGUUUUAAUUUCAUUUUAGGUUUUUACGUAUAUUUAUUAUAUAUAACUAGUUGUCCGUUACAGUCAGCUAUAACAAAGUGUAUCUGACCUGUCUUACCUACUAACUGCCCCAUGGCCAGAAGCUUCAUUUGCUGAUUGGCCAAGCUAACACCUAUUGUUAAACUGCAUGCUUUGAUUAUACUGCAUACUCUCUCAGCACAUAAACUGACAGAACUGCUCAGACCAGCAAAGUGUAAAGAGACAAUAUUAAAUCAGGUGAGUUAAAUGGUUAUAAUCUCUAUCUUGUGUUGUAUUUAAAUAAUACAGUAUGUUCAAAGUGUUAUAUGAAGUAAACUAAAUGUAUGUAAUCUAACAUAAAUGUUGAUUUAUGUCUAAAUAUUUAAAUCUGCAUGAGAUAAGCUAAACACCCAUACUUUAUCACUAAAAUGUAUUCUAUCACUUCAAUGAAAUAUGUGUGAAAGUGUUUUACCUCAAGAGUGUUUUAAUAAGCUUUGAAAUGUAGAGAUUCAGAUGUGAUACAAUGCAAAUCAUUGUAAAUAAAAUGUGUGUAUUACUUUGUUCAAUAUAUUAAAUGUUAAAUAGUGUUUUAGUCUAUGUAUUGUUUAUUCAGAUAAUCAAUGGUGUUGCCAUACGUGUGGCAGUUGGGAUCCACACCCUUGUAUCACCCACAGGGGUGUAUGAUAUAUAGAUCCUUGAUCACACUCAACGCAUCGCAAUAAAGACCUCAACCCCGUA
rnacentral:lncRNA from 1 species